rnacentral:misc_RNA from 1 species
AGCAGGUAUUCUAUCAAUGGCAAAUGCUGGUCCUGAUACAAAUGGAAGCCAAUUCUUUAUCACUCUUGCUCCUUGCCCAUCCUUAGAUGGAAAGCACUCUAUCUUUGGAAGAGUUUGUAGGGGAAUGGAAAUAAUCAAAAGGCUUGGCAGUGUACAAACUGAUAACAAUGAUAGACCCAUCCAUGAUGUGAAAAUACUACGGGCAUCAGUUAAAGACUAAAGCUUUUCAGUUAUUAACUUUUGACACAAUCUUAUCAUUGUAUCGGCACCGUAUGCAGCAGUAGAAACCAUGUAUGUGUUUCAUGACAGAAGAAAGGGAAAUAU